GGAGUUAGCCGGUGCUUCUUCUGCGAGUAACGUCACAGAUGUAAGGUAUUAACUUACACCCUUUCCUCCUCGCUGAAAGUGCUUUACAACCCGAAGGCCUUCUUCACACACGCGGCAUGGCUGCAUCAGGGUUUUCCCCCAUUGUGCAAUAUUCCCCACUGCUGCCUCCCGUAGGAGUCUGGGCCGUGUCUCAGUCCCAGUGUGGCUGAUCAUCCUCUCAGACCAGCUAGGGAUCGUCGCCUAGGUGAGCCUUUACCUCACCUACUAGCUAAUCCCACCUGGGCUUAUCCAUCAGCGCAAGGCCCGAAGGUCCCCUGCUUUCCCCCGUAGGGCGUAUGCGGUAUUAGCAGUCGUUUCCAACUGUUAUCCCCCACAAAUGGGCAAAUUCCCAGGCAUUACUCACCCGUCCGCCGCUCGUCAUCUUCAAAAGCAAGCUUUUGAAAUGUUACCGCUCGACUUGCAUGUGUUAGGCCUGCCGCCAGCGUUCAAUCUGAGCAGANACAACUACUGA
rnacentral:rRNA from 1 species